rnacentral:snRNA from 1 species
GUACUUACCUAGCAGGGGAGACUCCGUGAUCACAAAGGUGGUUUUCCCAGGGUGAGGCUUACCCAUUUCACUCUGGUUGUGCUGACCUGUGCCAUUUUCCCAAUCAGUGAGAAAACUCGACUGCAUAAUUUGUGGUAGUGGAGAACUGCGUUAGUGUUUUCCCCUG